GACGAGGGACCCUAGCGUUGUUCGGAAUCAUUGGGCGUAAAGCGGGUGUAGGUGGCUUUGUAAGUCAGAUGUGAAAUCCCUGGGCUCAACCCAGGACGUGCAUUUGAUACUGCGAAGCUUGAGUGCGGGAGAGGUUACUGGAAUACCUGGUGUAGUGGUGAAAUACGUAGAUAUCAGGUGGAACACCGGAGGCGAAGGCGGGUAACUGGCCCGACACUGACACUCAGACCCUAAAGCGUGGGGAUCAAACAGG
rnacentral:rRNA from 1 species